rnacentral:lncRNA from 1 species
CUCUGUUGAACAAUCACAUACAAAUCAACAUAACAUAGAUGAUGAAGAAUUAGAGGAUGAUUUGGAUUGCAUUUGAUUUAGAUGAAUAUAUGUAUUUGAUACUAUGUUUUUAAUUAUGCUUGACAUUUUACCAUGACUAUGUAUGGAUUCACUACUAUGGUUAUGUAUGUUGAUGAACAUAUCUUAAAUAUGAAACUUCAAAUCAAUAGUAUAUUUUGAAUUACUUCUAUUUAGG